CGUAAAGAGUGUAACCUUUUAAACUAAAUCUCGAAUAGCAAAGAGCAUUUAUUUUUUUAUUUUUUUUUGAUAACCAUGGGUGUCCGAGCCAGCUUACGCGCCCCUCGACUAAUCCCAUGGGGCCCUGAAUAGCAAAGAGCAUUUAUGAAAAAAUUUAAUUUUCAGCCCAUUCUAACAUAUCUUUCUGGCUCCGUCCUUGGCCAUCACGUUUAAAUGAAAUAUACUGACGAUAUGUCGGGCCAUCGAAAGACUUUCAUAUUGAGUAAAUUCUUGCUAAAAAAAAUGAUGGUAUGAGCAUGAACACCGUUGAACUUUGUUACAUGAUGGGUUACUGUUUCAUAGUUUUAAAGGAAUUGAUUAUUAAUAUUUUGUUAGUUACCUGCCUGUAAGUGUCUAUUUGCUAUUUUAUUUUGUUCUAUACAUUAUGAGAUUUUAUUAAACGAGUGUUAAAAUAAGACCAGUGGCAUUAGCACCCGUCAAUCAACUACCGUCUGAUGAACCCAAGGUAUGGAAGAAAUGCUAUGUUUAAGCUUACUUUCAAGCAUGAUUUAUUAAUCAUUUAAGCUUGAUUCCAUGAAAUGCUUAUAAUGUUAGAAUGAAAUGUGUUAAGCAAGUUUUUAUUUUUGUACAUAAAGAUAUGGUGAUUGGUCAUCUAAUUAAAGGUCCAAGAGCAGAAUGUAUAAGAUGAUUGACAAAGAUAGAACAUAAUUGAAUAUUUAUGUGAUAUACAUGGAUAAAACUUAUCAAGUCACUAGAAAGAGGAGAAAAUAAAAGUCACAUCUUUAGAGCUUUUUGACUAAAUAAGAUAAUUUCGAGGACGAAAUUAAUUUAAGGGGAAAGGGAUGUAACACCCCGCAUUUUUUUACUAUAUGGACCUAAACUUAUCAUUUAGCAAAUGAAGAUUUGUCGUUAUAUUAAAAGUCCAAAGUUGAAGUGGUAGACUUGACUCGCUUAUUUGUACAAAUAACUUAUUUGCUUACGUGCAUUUUUUGAAAUAUUAUAUGGG
rnacentral:lncRNA from 1 species